rfam:Sideroxydans lithotrophicus ES-1, complete genome.
GAAGCUGGCUAGACAGUCGCUGCGCACUUUAUGCUGCGUAGAGGAAAGUCCGGGCUCCGCAGAGCAGGAUGCCGGUUAACGGCCGGACGCCGUGAGGCGAUGGAAAGUGCCACAGAAAAUACACCGCCGAUGGCUGCGCAAGCAGUACAGGUAAGGUUGAAAUGGCGAGGUAAGAGCUCACCGCGCUGGUGGCGACAUCAGUGGCAGGGUAAACCCCAUCCGGAGCAAGACCAAAUAGGCUGGCUAUGACGUGGCUCGCGUCGCCAGCGGGUAGGUCGCUUGAGCGUCAGGUAACGAAACGCCUAGAGGAAUGACUGUCCACGACAGAACCCGGCUUAUCGGCUGGCUUCACCC